rnacentral:piRNA from 1 species
UGCAUCACAUGUGAUUGAUGACCACAUA